rnacentral:rRNA from 1 species
UGCGUAGGGGGCUAGCGUUGUCCGGAAUCAUUGGGCGUAAAGCGCGUGUAGGCGGUUCGGUAAGUCCGCUGUGAAAGUCGGGGGCUCAACCCUCGAAUGCCGGUGGAUACUGUCGAACUAGAGUGCGGAAGAGGCGAGUGGAACUCCUGGUGUAGCGGUGAAAUGCGCAGAUAUCAGGAGGAACACCAAUUGCGAAGGCAGCUCGCUGGGACGUAACUGACGCUGAGACGCGAAAGCGUGGGGAGCAAACAGG